UAAUACGUAGGUGGCAAGCGUUGUCCGGAAUUAUUGGGCGUAAAGCGCGCGCAGGCGGCUUCUUAAGUCUGAUGUGAAAUCUUGCGGCUCAACCGCAAGCGGCCAUUGGAAACUGGGAGGCUUGAGUGCAGAAGAGGAGAGUGGAAUUCCACGUGUAGCGGUGAAAUGCGUAGAGAUGUGGAGGAACACCAGUGGCGAAGGCGGCUCUCUGGUCUGUAACUGACGCUGAGGCGCGAAAGCGUGGGGAGCAAACAGGAUUAGAUACCCUGGUAGUCCACGCCGUAAACGAUGAGUGCUAAGUGUUAGAGGGUUUCCGCUCUUUAGUGCUGCAGCUAACGCAUUAAGCACUCCGCCUGGGGAGUACGGCCGCAAGGCUGAA
rnacentral:rRNA from 1 species